rnacentral:rRNA from 1 species
AUUGAACGCUGGCGGCAUGCUUUACACAUGCAAGUCGAACGGCAGCGCGGGCUUCGGCCUGGCGGCGAGUGGCGAACGGGUGUGUAAUGCAUCGGAACGUGCCCAGUAGUGGGGGAUAGCCCGGCGAAAGCCGGAUUAUUACCGCAUACGACCUGAGGGUGAAAGCGGGGGACCGAAAGGCCUCGCGCUAUUGAAGCGGCCGUUGUCGGAUUAGCUAGUUGGUGGGGUAAAGGCUUACCAAGGCGACGAUCCGUAGCUGGUCUGAGAGGACGACCAGCCACACUGGGAUGUAGACACGGCCCAGACUCCUACGGGAGGCAGCAGUGGGGAAUUUUGGGCAAUGGGGGCAACCCUGAUCCAGCCAUGCCGCGUGAGGGAAGAAGGCCUUCGGGUUGUAAACCGCUUUUGUUCGGGAAGAAAUCCUCUGGGCUAAUACCCCGGGGGGAUGACGGUACCGGAAGAAUAAGCACCGGCUAACUACGUG